rnacentral:lncRNA from 1 species
UGGACGUCGCGCCUGCGCCCCCAUCACCCCCUCCCCGGCGGCAGCGCCUGCGCAGAUCUAUGCGGGUCGUGCAGGGUCUGCUGCCCUCCUGUCCGCAACGGAGGCAGCACGGCAACGAUUGGCUCCACAAGCUGAGGAUCUCCUUUCUCUCCUCUUUUUAUUUGUUCAUUCUAAUAUUUGCUUAACUCAUGGAGUGAAUCACCCUUAAUUUCAUAAGACUAGAUCUAAUUCCUGACUUUUUCAAUAGCUACCAGUUCAUAGUUUUGGAGCUUCACUUUAUUUUCACAUGCUAGAUUGGUCUUGGUCUGGUUGCAAUCGAUGGUAUUUCUCUGCAAUAGUAUAAGGCUGCAAGCAGAAUGAUAUGUUGAAAUAGUUUGGUCUGUUUAACUAAAGAAAGCUCUAUUUUGCGUGACAGUACCGUGAUGCAGUUUUAUUUCAGAGUAGCAGAGGGUGCUUUUCUCCUGUCUUGCAAAGUCCUUUGAUAGAUACGAUUUUAUACAGUACUAUAAUGUAUAAGUUGCCAUUUGGUUAGACUACUCUAACAGAUGCGGUUAGCCAUGUAAAAUGUCAGUUCCAUGCUGCAACAUCGAUAGUUUUCAGUAGCUGGUUUGCUACUAUAGGUUUUUAUUUGAUCGUGAUACUCUCAUUUUAGGCCCUGUUUAGUCCCCCACCCAAAAAAUUUUAGGCCUUAGAAUUCAGACCGUAGCCCUUUUAUUUGAUCAACUCUUAACUUGGCACAUGUUUGUUCAUAACUGAUUGAUAUGAGUCUGAGAUUUAGGCCUUGUUCAGUUCGCAAAAAGUGUGGUUUUUGGCUACUGUAGCACUUACGUUUUUAUUUGAAAAACAUUGUCCAAUCACGGAGUAAUUAGGCUCAAAAGAUUCAUCUCACAAAUUACAGGUAAACUGUGCAAUUAGUUUUUAUUUUCGUUUAUAUUUAAUACUCCAUGCAUAAGACCAAAGAUUCGAUGUGACGGAGAAUCUUGAAAAUUUUUGCGAACUAAACAAGGCCUUAGUACAGAGCUAGUCUAUGAGUUCAGCUAUAUUUUUUUAUGCAAGUCUAUGUAUUCUGUUUGUCCUAUACCGUGUUUUCUUUAUCUUUUUUACCUCAACAGAUGAUGCCUCAUGUAGAGAGAACCAAAUGAUUGUUCAAGUGAAUACAGAUGAUGAACUAAAUGUAUGACGCAACUCUCAGGUGUCCGAUUUUGAGUUAC